rnacentral:tRNA from 1 species
GCAGUGGUGGUUCAGUGGUAAAGUUCUCACCUUCCAUGUGGGAGACUCAUGUUCGAUUCUGGCCAAUGCA